UACGUAGGCAGCGAGCGUUGUUCGGAGUUACUGGGCGUAAAGAGUGCGUAGGCGGUGCCCUAAGUCUGGUGUGAAAUCUCCCGGCUCAACCGGGAGGGUGCGCCGGAAACUGGGGUGCUCGAGUGUGGGAGAGGCAGGCGGAAUUCCCGGUGUAGCGGUGAAAUGCGCAGAUAUCAGGAGGAACACCGGUGGCGAAGGCGGGUCUCUGGGCAGUAACUGACGCUGAGGAGCGAAAGCGUGGGGAGCGAACAGG
rnacentral:rRNA from 1 species